GGCUCAGUGAAUGUCGAUAGAUAAGACGUAUCGCUCAUAACGAUAAGCAUGUUGGUUUGAAUCCAACCUGAGCCACCA
rnacentral:tRNA from 1 species